rnacentral:rRNA from 1 species
UUUGUGCAUUUUCAAUAAGCGGAGGAAAAGAAACUAACAAGGAAUCCCCUAGUAGCGGCGAGCGAAGCGGGAAGAGCUCAAAUUUAUAAUCUGGCACCUUCGGUGUCCGAGUUGUAAUCUCUAGAAAUGUUUUCCGCGUUGGACCGCACACAAGUCUGUUGGAAUACAGCGGCAUAGUGGUGAGACCCCCGUAUAUGGUGCGGACGCCCAGCGCUUUGUGAUACAUUUUCGAAGAGUCGAGUUGUUUGGGAAUGCAGCUCAAAUUGGGUGGUAAAUUCCAUCUAAAGCUAAAUAUUGGCGAGAGACCGAUAGCGAACAAGUACCGUGAGGGAAAGAUGAAAAGCACUUUGGAAAGAGAGUUAACAGUACGUGAAAUUGUUGGAAGGGAAACGCUUGAAGUCAGACUUGCUUGCCGAGCAAUCGGUUUGCAGGCCAGCAUCAGUUUUCCGGGAUGGAUAAUGGUAGAGAGAAGGUAGCAGUUUCGGCUGUGUUAUAGCUCUCUGCUGGAUACAUCUUGGGGGACUGAGGAACGCAGUGUGCCUUUGGCGGGGGUUUCGACCUCUUCACACUUAGGAUGCUGGUG